rnacentral:rRNA from 1 species
UACAGAGGUCUCAAGCGUUGUUCGGAUUCAUUGGGCGUAAAGGGUGCGUAGGUGGCGCUGUAAGUCGGGUGUGAAAUUUCGGAGCUUAACUCCGAAACUGCAUUCGAUACUGCGGAGCUAGAGUACGGAAGAGGCGAGUGGAAUUCCUGGUGUAGCGGUGGAAUGCGCAGAUAUCAGGAGGAACACCAAUAGCGAAGGCAGCUCGCUGGGACGUUACUGACACUGAGGCGCGAAAGUGUGGGGAGCGAACAGG